GGACGAACGCUGGCGGCGUGCUUAACACAUGCAAGUCGAACGCUGAAGCUUGGUGCUUGCACUGGGUGGAUGAGUGGCGAACGGGUGAGUAAUACGUGAGUAACCUGCCCUUGACUCUGGGAUAAGCCUGGGAAACUGGGUCUAAUACUGGAUAUGACAUGUCACCGCAUGGUGGUGUGUGGAAAGGGUUUUACUGGUUUUGGAUGGGCUCACGGCCUAUCAGCUUGUUGGUGGGGUAAUGGCUCACCAAGGCGACGACGGGUAGCCGGCCUGAGAGGGUGACCGGCCACACUGGGACUGAGACACGGCCCAGACUCCUACGGGAGGCAGCAGUGGGGAAUAUUGCACAAUGGGCGGAAGCCUGAUGCAGCGACGCCGCGUGAGGGAUGACGGCCUUCGGGUUGUAAACCUCUUUCAGCACGGAAGAAGCGAAAGUGACGGUACGUGCAGAAGAAGCGCCGGCUAACUACGU
rnacentral:rRNA from 1 species